rnacentral:rRNA from 1 species
CGGACGGGUGAGUAAUGCUUAGGAAUCUGCCUAUUAGUGGGGGACAACAUUCCGAAAGGAAUGCUAAUACCGCAUACGCCCUACGGGGGAAAGCAGGGGAUCUUCGGACCUUGCGCUAAUAGAUGAGCCUAAGUCAGAUUAGCUAGUUGGUGGGGUAAAGGCCUACCAAGGCGACGAUCUGUAGCGGGUCUGAGAGGAUGAUCCGCCACACUGGGACUGAGACACGGCCCAGACUCCUACGGGAGGCAGCAGUGGGGAAUAUUGGACAAUGGGCGAAAGCCUGAUCCAGCCAUGCCGCGUGUGUGAAGAAGGCCUUUUGGUUGUAAAGCACUUUAAGCGAGGAGGAGGCUACUGAGAUUAAUACUCUAGGAUAGUGGACGUUACUCGCAGAAUAAGCACCGGCUAACUCUGUGCCAGCAGCCGCGGUAAUACAGAGGGUGCGAGCGUUAAUCGGAUUUACUGGGCGUAAAGCGUGCCGUAGGCGGCUUUUUAAGUCGGAUGUGAAAUCCCUGAGCUUAACUUAGGAAUUGCAUUCGAUACUGGGAAGCUAGAGUAUGGGAGAGGAUGGUAGAAUUCCAGGUGUAGCGGUGAAAUGCGUAGAGAUCUGGAGGAAUACCGAUGGCGAAGGCAGCCAUCUGGCCUAAUACUGACGCUGAGGUACGAAAGCAUGGGGAGCAAACAGGAUUA